CCUUUUUGAGGGGGACAUUUUCAUCAUUGGAUGAAUUCACAUUUGAGUAUUUUGAUCAGAUCACAUUUUAUCUGAAAUAUAAACCUAAUGUUGCUGUUUUGCUUUGUUCAUGUGUGUUUUUGCUUUUCUGAAGUCCUACAGGUAAAUUAGGUCAGUUUAGUGUUUUGAUCGUUUCUAUCUGGUCAUAUACAUGACCAUAUAUAUACAUAUAUAUAUACACAUAUAUAUAUACACAUGUGGCGUAUGUGUGUCCAUGUGUCUGUACAGAAAUAGAAACGAGAACCGCUCCCCCUGCAAAGUUGUAAACUAGGAGAAACCCUGGAAUUAUAAUACAAAGGUGUUUGGUUCAUUUUGAAUAAUGUUUUGUAGUAAAUAAAUCAUGAGUUGUGACCACGUGAAAAUGUCUUUCUGAAAAGCGCAGCGUCGUCAGCCGUUUUCAUUUUGGAGCCUAAAAAGAUGAACUUAUGUUUUAUACGUUUGACCCUCCACAUCAGGGCGCCGGCCAGGUCGACCGCCGAGGCCGAAAACCGCGGGAGCUAAUGGAAAGCUAAUGCUAAUUAGCAAUCUUUGCUUCCCAAACACACAUUGAAUCUCACGAGGAAGCCAGUCUGACUCCAUCAGUGCGAAUCGCUUCCGACAGACAAGAGGCUCGUUCUGCGUUUCAUAUCGAUUCUGUUCCGUCUGGUUGCCGAUACUUCACGACUCGUUUGCUCGACUGAUGAACCCGUCAGCCGGCACGUGGUUGGUUGAAAUAAAGCUUAUGAGCUGAGAAGGUCACAAGCUCCUCUGCAUCCCUGCUCCACAUCAUCAUCAUCGUCUUCAUCAUUGGGAACACUGUAUUGGACACUGUUUGAGCAGGACUUGUCUCUCUGCUACACGUCUUCAGUGUCAACAGAAGAAGAGGACGUUUUUAUCGUCUUGUGUCUCCUCUGAUCUGAAAGGCUGUUGUGUUGCGUAGCAGGAAACAGGAAGUCGUGAGUCGCUGCGGUUUGUGGCGUUAUGGAGGUUGGAAUCUCAGCCGAUCCCUGAGCUGGAUGUUUCAAUGGUGUAUGAACAAAAUUGCAGAAUAACACUGAAAUCCAAAACUCAGCUGGACUGUGAGAUACCGGGAGCCGCUCUGCAGGAACCGCUGUGUUCCCCAAAUUACCAUCAAUGCUGGAAACAUAUCGUAUAUAUCAUAUAUUCUCCAGUAGUAAUGAGAAGCAGUCUGCAGAUUCACUCCACGUGCAACAGAUUCCUCGGCGCCAAAAUUGACUUACAAGUUGGCGGCGAGCCAUGAAAAGUGUUUUCCCGGCAAAACACUUUAAAUACGACUCGUCCCCCCAAAAUUCUUUGGAGACGUUAUUUUAAAAAAGCCUCACAAUUAGGGGAUGCGUGGAACACCAUCAGUGACAUGCAGGUGGAGUAGUUUCACACAUUAUAACCAGCAGAUGGCAGAAUCCAAAAACCAAGUCACUACUUACUGUGUUAGCCUUCAUGUUAGCAUUACUAGCUGUGCUGUUAGCCUUCAUGUUAGCAUUACUAGCUGUGCUGUUAUCCUUCAUGUUAGCAUUACUAGCUGUGCUGUUAGCCUUCAUGUUAGCAUUACUAGCUGUGCUGUGUUAGCCUUCAUGUUAGCAUUACUAGCUGUGCUGUGUUAGCCUUCAUGUUAGCAUUACUAGCUGUGCUGUUAGCCUUCAUGUUAGCAAUACUAGCUGUGCUGUUAGCCUUCAUGUUAGCAAUACUAGCUGUGCUGUUAGCCUUCAUGCAUUACUAGCUCUGUGCUGUUAGCCUUCAUGUUAGCAUUAAUAGCUGUGCUGUGUUAGCCUUCAUGUUAGCAUUACUAGCUGUGCUGUUAGCCUUCAUGUUAGCAUUACUAGCUGUGCUGUGUUAGCCUUCAUGUUAGCAUUACUAGCUGUGCUGUGUUAGCCUUCAUGUUAGCAUUACUAGCCUUCCAAUUAGAGUUACUAUGUUAGACAGCAGAAUUAUCAGAUGUAACGUCAGCGUCAAAUGAAAUUGUAGAAGCUUUUUAUUUACUCCUAUGACAUAUUAUACUAUCAUAUUUGACAACAUUCCAUGUUUUAUGACAUCGUUUUUCGUGGGGUGACUGCUCGGUGGUCGAGUGCCAUUAAUCAAAAAGAGGAUCUGCGGUUUAUUUCCUCGCCGACGUGCCCUCUAGCAACACACUGCUCCCUCACACAACUCAUGACAUUUUAAUGACACACUAUGACGACACACAAUAAUGAUUACACAUAAAUAAACGGUAUCGUCCCUAAUGAAGCAAGCAGGGAGGUCACGUGACUCGAUGUAGAUGAGCAGAACCCAUUGAACACACGGAUUUGUUCAGCUAUUUAUUUUCAGUAAUCAGCAGUAACGAUUAUAGUAUAUGGACAAGUUCUUCUGUUAAGAAAUGAAUUAUCAAAACAUAGUUUAUAAAAGUGUAUAGUAAGCAUAACACAGACAUAUAUAUAU
ensembl:lncRNA